rnacentral:SRP_RNA from 1 species
CCGCGCUAAGCGGGGAGAUGGCGAUGCCCUGUACCUGCGAUCGCCUAGCAGGGCCUAAUUCCCCGCCCGAGGCGUGAACCGGGUUUGGUUGAAACCGGUGCGGCCGGCGUUGAUAGCCUGGUCUCGGGCAAUGAGGCCCCGUGAAUCGUGUCAGGACCGGAAGGUAGCAGCACUAAGCGGGUAACUUUAUGUGCUAUCGGGGCAGCCGGGCAGGAGUCGGCGGCCGGAAGUUCGCCGGACGCGCAAGCGUCGACGGCGGGGUGCGCGG